AUGAUCUUCUGAUCCUAUCUUAAAAAAAAGAUUGAAAAUUUGCUGUAGGAUUCUCUCAUGCUUCAAGCUAAACCCGUUUGAGCAUCUCAACCUAUCUUCCGAUUCUUCCACGGAUGAUGUUAAAAGACAGUACUGAAAGGUAUCAAGCUGGAGAGACUUCAUGAAAGCAGGAAAGAAGGCCAAAAAGGGAAGAGACACGUCCUCCAAAACUGAAGACAGAGGAUCCAAACAAAUCAUACGUCCAAAGGCCGGUCAAGAAAGGCUGAUCUCUUUCUCUCUUUUUUUGCUGUUGUUGCCAUUGAUAGAUUUGGUCUUCUCGAGUAUGAUCUCACACUUGUUCUGCUUUAUGUCUGUGUUUCUCUUUGCACAUCACCAACUUCUUGUCUUUCCUAAUACAUCGGAAACAAAUUGACCUCACUUCUCAAACGCUUAUGACCUUACAACUUCUGUAUU